GUCUGUGUCGCCCCUCGCAGUUGUCCACUCAUAGAUAAUUCUUUCCAAUUCAUUGGUGCUGUCUUCAAAUGGUUCAUUUUACAAGGACAAAGCACUUUGAAGGGUCCAGAAUUAAAAUGUCACGCAAGACUUCGGUGAAUUACUACUGUAUUCAUAGCUGCCUAUUUAAAGACAAUUUAAAAUAGGAAUCCAUAGUAGGCUUUGGUACUGGCUGCUACCUCGGGACCAAAGCCCAUUUCGGAACCCUCAGCAGAGAUCAGACAUAUACAGAAGCACAGAGUAUGGUUGAUCAGAUUGGGCACUUGCAAUGUAUUUGAAGAUCAAACGAGAAGGCAAAACAAGAACAGUACUGGAAGGCAAGAAGAAAAUUUUUAGACGCAGGAAACAAAGCAAGGAGUCAUACCAGAAGCCAGAAAUGACAAUAUAAAAAAUAAGAGGGCACAAUGAGUGUUUCUAGAGUUUUUGCUGCAUGGGUUGAAAAAUAAAAUGUUACCCUA